GGGGAAUAUUGGACAAUGGGGGCAACCCUGAUCCAGCAAUGCCGCGUGUGUGAAGAGGGUCUUCGGAUUGUAAAGCACUUUCGACGGGGACGAUGAUGACGGUACCCGUAGAAGAAGCCCCGGCUAACUUCGUGCCAGCAGCCGCGGUAAUACGAAGGGGGCUAGCGUUGCUCGGAAUGACUGGGCGUAAAGGGCGUGUAGGCGGUUUACACAGUCAGAUGUGAAAUCCCCGGGCUUAACCUGGGAGCUGCAUUUGAUACGUGUAGACUAGAGUGUGAGAGAGGGUUGUGGAAUUCCCAGUGUAGAGGUGAAAUUCGUAGAUAUUGGGAAGAACACCGGUGGCGAAGGCGGCAACCUGGCUCAUGACUGACGCUGAGGCGCGAAAGCGUGGGGAGCAAACAGGAUUAGAUACCCUGGUAGUCCACGCUGUAAACGAUGUGUGCUAGAUGUUGGGUAA
rnacentral:rRNA from 1 species